GUCAAUAUGGUUCCACGCGUACAUGAUGUCUCUGUCAAAUGCGAAUGCUUGGUGUGAAAUGAAUAUUUAUUGACGUGAAUAUCGCCGAUUACGACAAUCUGACAUCAAGUCUGAAAUGUUUUGCUGUGUUUAUGAAUUAUAAAUCUUAUAAAUCGUGAUGUCUGCUAUCAAGGAUUAAGGAUAAUAGAAACUUGACAAAUGAAGAAAUAAAGUUCUAAUAAAUAUAGAUGGAGAGAUUUAUUGAGCUGAUAAAUCAUCAGGUAUCAAGAGAAAAAGAAAUUUUUUAUGGAAAAUUUCUAGAAAUUCCGUGAAGCAAUGGCAUUUUUUAAAGAUUUAAAGAUUCUUCGAUAAUUCACUAAUCGAUUUCUAAUUAUACGAUUGGAUUUCAUUCAACUGUAAAUAUCUUCAAGUUUAUGAGGUCAUGUUGAAAGGAGGAAUCGAUGGAAUUUAUUGGCUUUUAUUGGAAUAUGGCAAAGGCCAAAAUGAAGGUCUUUCAAUUGGUUGUACAAAUCUCUAGUUAGUCAUAUUUCCAAUUUAAUAGAGUUAGUAAGUACAUACAAAUCUUUGGGCUAUAUUCUAAAAUAGCAAUAAAUUUAGUUAAAAUCAUGUUACACGAAUAUGUUACAAAAUAGGAAAACAUUCAAGUUUUCUUUUUUUUCUUGGCUUGAGAAACUGAAACCAUGAAUAAAUGAAUGAAAUAGAUCAUUCUAAAUAUUAAAUAAACAUUAAAAUUUUUCAUUGCAAGUUUUUAAGAGUUGUGAAAGCUAAAUCUGUGAAAAUGUUUUUGAAAAUUAUUUUAAAAAUUUAUCAAAUUCUAAUUAUUAUUUAUAUUAUUUAAAUUAUAUAUAAAUAGCAAUUUUUUCCUUUAAUAUUAAAACUCAUCAAACUCAUCACUUUUUUUUUCUUAACUUUUAUUUUCUUGAUCUAUCUUUAUUUUCUUUAUUAAGAAAUUAUUAAUUGGUGAUACUAAGUAAGUUCCCUUUCUUUCUCCCUUUUCGAAACUUCUCAAAGAAGAUCCUUUCAGAUGCUUAUCGAUUUCCCUCGAAAACUCUUCGGUAUCUUUAACAUUGAAACUUCGUUAUUUUAUUGAGACAACGUCGAGGAAACGCGAUUAUGAGUUUCAAAUGAAAGUUUCAACGCCGUCCAAAUACAAGAAUCGAGGAUAAUCUAGUGAUGUCGACCCACUUGCAACUAAAAUUUAUUACUCGCAUCCGAGCCCUAUCAUCUUCGAUCGGUGAAAAUAGCUUUUCUUCUUUCUCAUGAUGCUUAUUUCCGCCUGCAUGAACGAUGUCGGUUAUUUUCUAUCUUCGCACUUCGUCCCAACGUUCACUCAUUUCUUCUCAGAUUUUUUAUUCUCAUGAUUGAAGUAUUGACUGAAAAGAAAUAAGAUUCAUGAGAAUCUGAGUAGAAAAAGUUGUUAUGACAUUUUAAUUGAUUAAUCAUAAAAAACUUUGUAGAAAAAAAUUUAUUCAAAAAUUUGUAUCUUUUGCGAAAAGAAAUUAUAUUUUUCACACUCUGCUUAGAAUAUCAAAUCGAUAGAAAAUUAAUAUUCUCCGCUCUGCGAAGUCACGAAAAGAAGUACCGGCAAUUAUAUUUCUCCAUCAAAUGUUUUUCGUCGAAAAAAAAAAAGAAUGAAAUGCAUUCCGCAUGGUUUGUUAUGCAAACGAGCAGAAGCUGUGCAGGGUCGGUUCGAAUUGGAAUCUCCCUUGCGAAUCAGUCUGAAAACACUUGGCCGAACAGAACGAACGAACUGUCAAGCGAAGCACGUAUGUUCCCUAAUUACACGCACGGGACGCGUGCGUACACCAUUUCGAACAAGUCCGAAGCCCUUGGUACAUCGGUUCGUUACGCACCGGAUCGGACUACAAUUUACGUAGUCGUUUACCGUGUCCAGGCACGCUUGUACGCGUUAAUCGUGACUUAUUUCGAUUCUUCGAUUGUAACCGCGUUAACGCUUGCAAAUCUGUUUCCAUUUUACUCCUAUUCUCUUACUGCGUGUUCGAUCCGAAGGGAGAAAGCGAAAUCAGAGAGAAUUAAAUACGAAUGUAAUUAUCAGAUUGAUGAGAAUUUCGUUUUUUAUAUUAUAAAUAUAACAAAGGUUUUUUUUUUUAAUUUUGAGAAGAGAAAUUUAAACGUAUUAAUUUAGAUAAUAAAUUAAUAAUGAAGAAAUAGUGUUGGUUUAUUAAAAUUUAGAUUAAUUUUUGAAAUGUAGAUUAAUUACUAAUAAAAUAUAAACGUUUCUUUACGUUUAAAUUCUUCAAAUUAUUGUAGAUAUAUUUCGAUAUAUUUUCACUUUCCAAUUUCACUGGUUCGUGAAAUGUAUAAAAAAAAUCAUUAUCUCUGGGAAUACAAAAGUUAUUUAAGAAUCUAGAGAUAAUGAAAAAUUCUGAAAAUUUUAAAUUACAAUUGAAGGUUUGAAUUUUCUUUUCCAAUUAAAAAUAAUUUAGUGUUAUAGAUUUAAUCAGAAGAAAGUGAAAUUGAACAGAAGAAAGUUGUUACGCACAGAUGUGAUUUCCAUGUGUUGCUCUUUUCACCGUGACCACUUUCUUCUAUUUGAUCCAAGUGUCACGCGUUCCAGCACUUUGUCAUUUUACGUAACGACUUGUCUUUAUUCGUAUAAUACGGGAAAAAUUUAUUCGCGUCACGUUAAAAAUUAUUUUUUUUAACGAAUCUAUUAUCUCUUGUACAAAUUAUAUUUAUAAGAUUUGCACAUUUGGUUGAACGUGUCAGCAUCAUGAGAGCAAUUGCGUGUCAUAUCACAUUAGGAAAAUUUACACAAUUAUCUGAUUCCGAAUUGAUGCUCUAGGCAACGAUGUGAAUUAAUCGUGAUUUCAUCUGAUCAAGCUUGAAUAAACUUGCUUGUAUUUCUGCUUAACGAUAUACUUGUUCAUGAUAAAUUGAUUGCGCAGCUAAACUUUGCACUCAUUGAUCCUAACUUAUUGCAACAUUGAACGAUUAUAUUCUGUUUAGACUCUAUCAAAAAAUAAAUAUUUAAGAGUUGAAAGAUUUAUAGUGUUCGUACCAAUUAGAAUCUGUAUUAAUUCUUUUGAAAUGUGAAAUUAUUUAUGUAAUUUUAUACGUAGAAAGAACAUUAAGCUAUGUGCUAAUAAAUAAUAUUAAAAUAAUUAAAGAGAUCAAUAUUGAAAUUAUAUAGAUCUAAGAAAAAAAUAUUGUAUUGAAACAUAUUAUUAAGAAUAUAAAGAAAGAAAAUAUUAAAUAGAAAUAAUAAAACAAAAUUUGAUUUUUACAAA